GCGGAAUAGCAUUAUUGUUCUUCACGAGGAUGCCUAGUAAGCGUGAGUCAUCAUCUCGCGUUGAUUACGUCCCUGCCCUUUGUACACACCGCCCGUCGCUCCUACCGAUUGAAUGUGCUGGUGAAGACUUCGGAUUGGCUGUUUGGUUAGGUUUCCUGACCUUACCGCUGAGAAGUUGUUUAAACCCUCCCAUUUAGAGGAAGGAGAAGUCGUAACAAGGUUUCCGUAGGUGAACCUGCGGAAGGAUCAUUGA
rnacentral:rRNA from 1 species